rnacentral:tRNA from 1 species
UCAAAAACAGUUCUUGAGAAUACUAACUUUGGGAGUUAGAGGAUGUCGUUUUAGUCAUUUUUGAA